rnacentral:rRNA from 1 species
AGGUGUGUGGGGGGCUGGAGCGGCGGUAAGGUGGAGGGGGGGGGGGUUGGCCGGAAUGAGUGGGCGUACAGGCUGCGUGGGUGGCUAGGUAAGCGUGGGGUGAAGGCCCGUGGGUCAACCCCGGGUCUGCCGUGCGAACUGUGUGGCUUGAGCAUAGUAGAGGCAGGUGGAAUUCCGGGUGUAGCGGUGGAAUGCGUAGAGAUCCGGAAGAACACCGGUGGCGAAGGCGGCCUGCUGGGCUAUUGCUGACACUGAGGCGCGACAGCGUGGGGAGCAAACAGGAUUAGAUACCCCAUAGUC